rnacentral:rRNA from 1 species
UACGUAGGGGGCUAGCGUUGUCCGGAAUCAUUGGGCGUAAAGCGCGCGUAGGCGGCCAGAUAAGUCCGGUGUGAAAGUCACAGGCUCAACCUGUGAAUGCCGCUGGAAACUGGCUGGCUUGAGUCCGGAAGGGGCGAGUGGAAUUCCUGGUGUAGCGGUGAAAUGCGCAGAUAUCAGGAAGAACACCCGUGGCGAAGGCGGCUCUCUGGGACGGUACUGACGCUGAGACGCGAAAGCGUGGGGAGCGAACAGG